AGGCAGGACUCAGAAACUGGGAUGUGAGCAGGGAGGUGGGGGUGAGCCGGCUCUCUGCCCCUCUAAGCAAAGCCCUCUCUGCCCCAUGCUGCAGGUGCUGGAGUGACCACCCAGGACAUCUGCAGCUCUCCAGGAUUGCAGGAGCAUGCAGGUGGGUCCCAAAAAUUAACGUGUUCUGGGGAAACAGAUGGAAAGAAAGAAGGGGAUUAUUCCCUCACAAUUCCCCCUGUAAACCCCAGGACAGCAGACUCCUCCAGCCUUGGCAUGCAGUUGCUUUUGCCACCCGGCAGUCACUAACUCUUGCCUGGGCAAUCCCUCUGCCUUCUCUCCAGGUAACGACCAGACGCCAGUCCUGUACCUCAACGCUUCCAGUGCCAAGGAGGGGGAAAUAAUUUUCUUUCAGUGUGCCAUUGAUUGGCAGUUUCCUGCUACACGAGUUGUCUUCUGCAAGAAUGGGCUGGAGGAGUUCAGCCUGAAAGCCCAGCAGGGCAAGGUCAUCUAUGCUCUGGUCCUGAACAUCACCUCCAGAAGUGCUGGGACGUACAAGUGUGGGUACCAGCAGAGGAACGAGAGCAACUGGGUGAGGAACUCUGCUCUCAGUGCUCCCCAGACCUUGUCUGUGGCAGGUGCACGUGCUGGUGAGACCACCCAGGACAUCCACAGCUCCCCAGGCAGCAGCCCCUCACACAAGGCCCAGCUCCCUUCCAGAGGUGAGACAUUGCUCAUCAGC
rnacentral:lncRNA from 1 species